AUACGGAGGAUGCGAGCGUUAUCCGGAUUUAUUGGGUUUAAAGGGUGCGUAGGCUGUUUGGUAAGUCAGGGGUGAAAUGCCGUCGCUCAACGACGGAGCUGCCCUUGAUACUGCCGAGCUGGAGUACGGAUGCCGUUGGAGGAAUGAGUGGUGUAGCGGUGAAAUGCAUAGAUAUCACUCAGAACACCGAUUGCGAAGGCACGUGACGAAUCCGUCCAGGACGCGGGGGCACGAAGGGGUGGGAAAAGAAAAGGAUAAGAUCCCCUGGUAUUCCACGCCGUAAACGAUGAUGACUAACCGCCUGCGAUAUAGUGUAGGUGGCCAAGCGAAAGCGAUAAGUCAUCCACCUGGGGAGUACGACCGCAAGGUUGAAACUCAAAGGAAUUGACGGGG
rnacentral:rRNA from 1 species